GCUAUUUUGGCAGAUUAGUGCAAUAAAUUUAGAAUUUAUUUAUGUAGUAUACUCUACAAAUAGUA
rnacentral:tRNA from 1 species